UAAGUAUGGCUUUUAAAUUUGUUGUUAUCUUUUGGUUUUGAUAAAAAUUCUAUCUGGGUUCCGAGCAAGGUGUGAAUUUGGGGGGUUUUGCUUUCCGGGUUCAGUCUCUUCUUCUCUCAUUGUGAACAAUAUGAACAAUCUAGGUCCUUUUUCUCAGUUUACUUCAACCUAUUUCAUGAAACGGUGUCUGGGUUUUGCAAUCUAGGUCCUUAUUCUCAGUUUACUUCAACCUAUUUCGUGAAACGGUGUCUGGGUUUUGCUCUCUCUCUCUCUCUCUCU
rnacentral:lncRNA from 1 species